GACGAACGCUGGCGGCGUGCCUAAUACAUGCAAGUAGAACGCUGAAGCGAGGAGCUUGCUCUUCUUGGAUGAGUUGCGAACGGGUGAGUAACGCGUAGGUAACCUGCCUUGUAGCGGGGGAUAACUAUUGGAAACGAUAGCUAAUACCGCAUAACAAUGGAUGACCCAUGUCAUUUAUUUGAAAGGGGCAAAUGCUCCACUACAAGAUGGACCUGCGUUGUAUUAGCUAGUAGGUGAGGUAACGGCUCACCUAGGCGACGAUACAUAGCCGACCUGAGAGGGUGAUCGACCACACUGGGACUGAGACACGGCCCAGACUCCUACGGGAGGCAGCAGUAGGGAAUCUUCGGCAAUGGGGGCAACCCUGACCGAGCAACGCCGCGUGAGUGAAGAAGGUUUUCGGAUCGUAAAGCUCUGUUGUAAGUCAAGAACGAGUGUGAGAGUGGAAAGUUCACACUGUGACGGUAGCCUACCAGAAAGGGACGGCUAACUACGUG
rnacentral:rRNA from 1 species